AUUGAACGCUGGCGGCAGGCCUAACACAUGCAAGUCGAGCGAGCGGCGGACGGGUGAGUAACGCAUGGGGACCGCCCUAUAGAGCGGGAUAACUAUUGGAAACGGUGGCUAAUACCCCGUACUAUCGGCUAACUCAGUUGGGAUUCGCUAGUUGGUGAGGUAAUGGCUCACCUAGGGGACGAUCCCUAGCUGGUCUGAGAGGGUGAUCAGCCACCAUGGAACGGAGACACGGCCCAGACUCCUACGGAGGCAGCAGUGGGGAAUAUUGCACAAUGGGCGCAAGCCUGAUGGAGCAAUGCCGCGUGUAUGAAGAAGGCCCUAGGGUUGUAAAGUACUUUCAGUCGGGAGGCGUUACCGAAAGAAGAAGCACCGGCUAACUCCGUGCCAGCAGCCGCGGUAAUAC
rnacentral:rRNA from 1 species